UACAGGGGGGCGACAGUGUUCGUGAAUUACUGGGCGUAAAGGGUUCGUAGGUGGCUUGCUAAGUCACACGUGAAAUCCCUCAGCUUAACUGGGGAACUGCGUGUGAAACUGGCGAGCUUGAGGGUAGGAGAGGAAUGCGGAAUUCCAGGUGUAGCGGUGAAAUGCGUAGAUAUCUGGAGGAACACCGGUGGCGAAGGCGGCAUUCUGGACCGACAUUGACGCUGAAUACCGAAAGCUAGGGGAGCAAACGGG
rnacentral:rRNA from 1 species